GGGAGUUGGGUGGGGACACUAGGUUUGAGAGCUGGGUUCCUUGCUCACCGCGGAGCACGCACAGCAGGACCUUUCAGGAAGGGCGGGUGGCUGUGGUGCUUUCGGUGCCUCCCCACUUCACCACCUGCUGCUCGAGUGGCUAAGUCUCUGAAGCUUCGGAUUUUUCCACAGUUUCUGGCUUUCCUUGAAGGACCUACCAACACCUGCUACCUUUGCUCCGAAACCAGGAGGAAGGUGGUCCAGGUCAUCUCUGAUGCACCGGACACUGGGACAUCAGAUCAGCCUCACUCCCAGCACUGCAUCGGACCUUUGAGUGGCAUCUGAUGAAGCCUGCUCAGAGACGCCUAUGAGCCAUAGUUCAUCAGACAGCGGGGUGGGAUGAGGGCUGGAGAGGAAGGAGAGGUAGUGCUGUUUCUGAGAUCCGAGUCUCGAGUCAGGCCACCACUGAGGUAGAUCCUGUCACCAUAAGGACACACAAAAGCUUUGGAUUUGAGCAGAUAGUUCUGCCUGCUGGUCUCUCAGCUGGGAUGAAGGUCAAAACACUAGAUGGAAUCUUCAGUUGUGCUGUAAUAUUUUCAGUAAACUUGGAAUACGACAACGAAAAUAUCGUGUGUGUUCCCUAACCCCACCACACAUAAGCGCACAUGCUCCUAUAGACUCAGCAGUCAGCACCAUAGCAUCCAGUUCAAGAUUUGAGAAAGAGGUGGGCAGGGCUGCCACUGUUCUCUGCCACCUACUGGCUGAUUAGCACCUUGAGCAACGGUUACCCAUUCUGAACCUUGGUUUCCCUCUGUGUAAAAUACUAGUAAUGUCACCUACCUUCUAGAAUUGUGACCAAAGGCUGCAUGCAUAAAGAUCUCACCUUAGCCAAUAAAAACAAAGGAACCACUUUCCUUUCUCAUACGUAGCCAGCCUUCUGUUGCGGUUUAGAUGCUAGGGAUGAGACUAAAUUCUAGGAAUAUUAAAAAUUCAUCAUAAUAAAGCAAUAUAAGA
rnacentral:lncRNA from 1 species